UGGCCCUCGAGGCCUGGAGUUGCCCACCCCUGCAUUACUUACUUUUUCAGGGUUUUUUUGCUGAAGUCGUACAGUUAUAGCCUUAGAAAGGCUACGGUUAGCAGUGAAAUUACUUGGUUAACUUAUUUCCUAAACACGACUGGGUUAAAAUGCAACAGUUCCCACUUUUUCAAAGCUCAAGUCUUAAUAUUUGUUUUGUCAUGAGACCGGGCUGAAUGCAACCAAAAAGCUUCUGGUACCAGAGAUCUUGCCUUUUCCUGUCCAGGCAGAUACACUUUAUGGAGAGUACGCUUCCUGAUCAUCAGGGAGACCAUCAAACUAAUUCUGCUGGUGAUAAACACAGCCCUGAUUGUCUCACUCUGAAAGCAAAUCAUUGUUUUCAUAGCACCACGCAGAUGUCACCUCAGUUCACCUGUGAGUGGAAGCAACACCUUGUCUGGAAAUAAGACAAAAGGUAGGGCGACGGAAGAAGUCUGAUGAUCACUAGAGUGAGAUGGUUUGCAUUGCAGAGACGGAGGAGCUGAUGAUGUGUGCAGGCUUUUCUGUCACGUAGGCACUACCCGGGGGGGGGCCUCUAUCUCCUUGUCAAGGACCUAAUUACCUGCAGUGAGAGUGGAGGGGAGGAAUACAACAGAAGCCUCUUAUUUUUGUUUCCUGAAUGCAUCGUGAGUCCCCCUUCCUUCUGAUUGGCCAGCUUUUGGAAGUCAGUCAAGGGGCCAGAUCAUGUGAGCUGUACCAGAGCUAGUCCCAUAGUCAUCCCACUUCCUGUUAAUCUGAGUGUACAGAAAGAGGUCAGCAGGGGGUGCUCUGAAAAAGUAAUCAGUGGUACUCUGUGAAUAUGCUGUGUCUGAAGCAGCUAAUCGAGCAGUUUGGGGGUUUGUUUUGUUGCCUCUAACCGACUGGACAAAUACCUGGUGUGGGCUGAGUGUAAGGCUCCAGCAUGAACCUCCAGGACUGAAGAAUGAAGCCAAAUCAUUUGGAUUCAUCUCCCAUCGAGGCAGCAGCGCAGCAGAACAUGUGGCAGCAUAAAUCACAAUUUUUUGGCGUGUAGCGGCUGGGGUCGUGUCUCUGCAUCGUUUGUGCUUCAUUUCGGAAUUUGUGGACAAAACCAGCUUGCGGGUGUAGCGUCCUCCUUCGAAGCGUGAGCUGCAUGAUGAUGGGCGGAGGACAGGUGCAGCAUGCAGUCAGUCCUCUAAGUAUAGACCCCCCCUUCUCUCUGACCCUCCCUCCUCCACACCACCAACCGAGCAUUCCUGCCGCUCUUCUCCGCGGGGACAACAAUGCAGCAGCUCAGAUGACGGACGCUGAAAAGCCUCCCGCUGUCACGCCGCCAAACGCUGAUCACCGAAUAUUGCCAGCGAUGGAGGCAGAGCAGCUGCUCCUCAGCAGAGCUGUGACUCUCUGCACUUCAACGUCUUGUCAGAUGUUAUGGUUAAUGUUCAGAAUUUGGCAUCUCAGUCCUGAGAGUCUGAAGUGGAAUGACUGCUCUUAUCAAAUUUAGAGAAAGAUUUCUAAAAUUGUCCUUUGCAGUUUGAGUUCAUUAGUAUGACUCACACAUAGCAGACACAUUUGGGCCCAAUUGGGCCUGCACUUGGCUCAGUUCAGGCUCUGGCAGAUGUUUUUAUGGUCCUGCACACCUGAUAUCUGGCCCAUAUCAGCUGGGCCUGCAGCUGAGUUGUCCAAAGAAAACUGCAGACAUGGCCACAUGUGGACCCAACAGUCCAAGAUUAGAAUAAUGUGACACAUUGGAUAUACAGAUGAGUACUCUAAGCUGUGCAUGGUUUUGUACUUUUAUAUUUUAAUUUAUCUGUGCAGCUAACCGUAUAAUAAAGUAAAAGUCAUGAACAACUUGAUAAAAUAUAUGAGCUUUGGAGAGUUUAAAAUUAGGUUUUUGAGGUUUUUCCUCUCAUUUGCUGUUCUACAUAUUCUUUCCUUGUUUGAAAUGCCUGAAACGCCUUGUUGGCAUGCAGACUUUUCUGUUACUUAUCUAUGUCACCAUGUUACAUGUCUUACAUAAUGCCUGCCUGGCAGCUCAUUUGGCACACUCUCAAACACUCUCAAACAAGGAACAAAUAGACGCUUUUUGCUGAAACUCGAACACAAAAAUAUCUCAGCUGCCAGCAAAGUGCACCAAAUGAACCACUGAUGGCUGCAGAGGAAACACGUGCACUCUCAGCAUCUGAAGACGUCGUGGAUUACGUUUAUUUUUGGUCCUCUCAACUACAGAAUCUUUGGCAUUAGCAUGUUGUCCAGCUAAUGUGGCUAACAUUUCCAUUAGCUUUGCUGAUAUCCCUAAAGACCAGAGGGACAAACAAAAAAUAUUUCCUGAUAGGAUAUAUUAAACAUGCAGUACUGUGCAAAAGUCUUGAGCCAUUCCUCUCUUCUUUAAAUUUUAGAGGAAAAUUGGAAACAUGUGCAAACGUAUGUAAAUACAGCAUAUAAGCUAAAACGUUUGCUAUUCCAACAAGCUUCAAAAUUAACAUUUGGCUCAAACACCGUCAUAAUUUAGCUCAGUCUGACCUCUCUGAGCUUAAAGGAUGAAGAGAUGACACACAGAGAUGACGGCUCUCUGUCGGCAUCACACUUUUCUUCUUCACUUGUCCAGUUUCCUGUACUUGGUCUAUGAACAAGACUAACUCCAUGUGAGGCCUGCUGACUUAAACAGACAGACCAGAAACUCUACUGCAUACAAAACAGUGGUCUGGAUUUAUCUCGCAUCACCUGCUUCAAACAAAACGCCAGCGACAGGAAACCUGAAUGAGUCUGUGCCAGAGGUCGACAGUGGAAAUUUACCCACAGUAAUGCGAAUGCAGCGGGCAGGAACAGCGCGGAGGAUGCUGUAAUGCUUUAGGCCCCCAGGCUGCUUAUUCAUUGUUGGAAAGGACUUCCUGAGAUGUCUGCAUUUUUCCCCGGUUCAAGCAUUUUAUUAUUCAUUCAGCAGUAACUGAAAUGGUUGUGAUGUUAUUCCUGUGUUCGUGUGUAGCGAUGGGUCUGCCAUAUGACACGCUCUUUAAUAGAGUUAUAAACCAAGGCAGCCACCUGUUCUAUGUUUGAUGAUUGUCACUGUAAUCUAUUAGUAGUUUCUACAGGAUGCAUACAGAGUUAUCUCUCUCUUACUGACAGUCCACCUCCUUAAGACACUACUGAGGCUCACACACACACCCACACACACUUUUUUAGGUAAAAGCUGGCCGGGCGUGCUUAUCUUAUCUUUUCUAAGAGCACUAUCUGGUUGGUUUUACAUACACAAGAAGCUUUACGGCUGCCAAUGAAGAGCUCGUCUCUGCUCCGAACAGAGGCGUGAUGAGUAAUGUUCACAUUUUAUGGAAGACUGUAAAGGAAUUUGCUAAAACAAACACGGAACAGGACAUAAAAAUGCACCUAACAGAAUGCUGUUAAUCAUUUGGAUGUUCGGGGGAAUAUUUGCUAACCUUUGCAUACAAAAAUAAUCAGAUUAUUUCGUUUAUGA